AGAACAAUUCCGUAAAGCGCUUGUUGAUAUUAUUAUGCAAGAAGAAAGUUUACCAAAGAGUAGCGCUGCAUCUAUUAGUGGUGAAUUACCUCCCUUAUCACGAUCAGGUUCACCAACAACAGCAGAAAAAGAUAUUCUGCGAUAUUACUACUAUAUACAUAA